GACGAACGCUGGCGGCGUGCCUAAUACAUGCAAGUCGAACGCAGUGGGGACGGGUGAGUAACACGUGGGUAACCUCCCAUCAGAGGGGAUCACCCUUGGCCACAGGUGCUAAACCGCUCCUGAUGGCUGGACCCGCGGUGCAUUAGCUAGUUGGUGAGGUAACGGCGCACCAAGGCCACGAUGCAUAGACGACCUGAGAGGGUGAGCGGCCACAAUGGGACGGCGACACGGCCCAGACUCCGACGGGAGGCAGCAGUAGGGAAUCUUCGGCAAUGGACGAAAGUCUGACCGAGCAACGCCGCGUGAGUGAAGAAGGUUGUCGGAUCGUAAAACUCUGUGGUUAGAGAAGCGGUAUCUAACCAGAAAGCCACGGCUAACUCCGUGCCAGCAGCCGCGGUAAUAC
rnacentral:rRNA from 1 species